rnacentral:rRNA from 1 species
GAACGCUGGCGGCGUGCUUAACACAUGCAAGUCGAACGGGAUCCAUCAAGCUUGCUUGGUGGUGAGAGUGGCGAACGGGUGAGUAAUGCGUGACCGACCUGCCCCAUACACCGGAAUAGCUCCUGGAAACGGGUGGUAAUGCCGGAUGCUCCAGUUGAUCGCAUGGUCUUCUGGGAAAGCUUUCGCGGUAUGGGAUGGGGUCGCGUCCUAUCAGCUUGAUGGCGGGGUAACGGCCCACCGUGGCUUCGACGGGUAGCCGGCCUGAGAGGGCGACCGGCCACAUUGGGACUGAGAUACGGCCCAGACUCCUACGGGAGGCAGCAGUGGGGAAUAUUGCACAAUGGGCGCAAGCCUGAUGCAGCGACGCCGCGUGAGGGAUGGAGGCCUUCGGGUUGUAAACCUCUUUUAUCGGGGAGCAAGCGAGAGUGAGUUUACCCGUUGAAUAAGCACCGGCUAACUACGUGCCAGCAGCCGCGGUAAUACGUAGGGUGCAAGCGUUAUCCGGAAUUAUUGGGCGUAAAGGGCUCGUAGGCGGUUCGUCGCGUCCGGUGUGAAAGUCCAUCGCUUAACGGUGGAUCCGCGCCGGGUACGGGCGGGCUUGAGUGCGGUAGGGGAGACUGGAAUUCCCGGUGUAACGGUGGAAUGUGUAGAUAUCGGGAAGAACACCAAUGGCGAAGGCAGGUCUCUGGGCCGUUACUGACGCUGAGGAGCGAAAGCGUGGGGAGCGAACAGGAUUAGAUACCCUGGUAGUCCACGCCGUAAACGGUGGAUGCUGGAUGUGGGGCCCGUUCCACGGGUUCCGUGUCGGAGCUAACGCGUUAAGCAUCCCGCCUGGGGAGUACGGCCGCAAGGCUAAAACUCAAAGAAAUUGACGGGGGCCCGCACAAGCGGCGGAGCAUGCGGAUUAAUUCGAUGCAACGCGAAGAACCUUACCUGGGCUUGACAUGUUCCCGACGGUCGUAGAGAUACGGCUUCCCUUCGGGGCGGGUUCACAGGUGGUGCAUGGUCGUCGUCAGCUCGUGUCGUGAGAUGUUGGGUUAAGUCCCGCA